rnacentral:lncRNA from 1 species
CAAGAUGUCUUGAAGUGACUGAAUGGAGUUAGUGUUCGGCAGGACUGGCUAGGACUGGAAGCAGACCAGAUUUAAUCAAAGCUGUUGAAGCUGCCCAGGGACUGGCUAAGCUGCCACCCUGUUAGUGAGGCCGCUGGGGAGAGGGAAACUGAAGCCUGCACCACGGGGAGCCGUAUACUGGAGUCUGGAAUCCAUUUGCUCCACGCAGGAGGCCUGCAUCUCAAGUCAGGAGGCACUGCCUGGAAAUCUAGCAUCAUGUUGAUACUCUUUGGUGAAGGAAAUGUGGUCCUUGCCCCAAGUUAUCUCACAGUCCCUUUGGGCAAUCUCAUGCAUAUUAAAAAUACCGACAAACAUAGACCCACGAAAGAUCCUGAUCUUUUAGGUCUGUCAUGUGAUAGAGACAGUAAGUGCUCUGUAUAGACAUCAGGAGAUUUUCUUCCCUGAAGGACAAGCUCUUGUAGCAUUUUCCUGCACUGAGAUGCAGUCAUGCUAGCCUGUCUUUCACUCACCAGGGAUGGCAAGGAAGGACCAG